rnacentral:rRNA from 1 species
AUGGCGAGGAGAGAUAGCUGCUUGGCGCGCAUCGGCGCCGGAGUCGCCAUCGGCGGCGCGGUCGGCGGAGCCGUCGGUGCUGUGUAUGGGACUUAUGCCGCUAUCAGAUUGAGGGUCCCUGGGCUGCUGAAGAUCAGACACAUCGGACAAGCCACCGUUGGCAGCGCUGCGGUAUUCGGGCUUUUCUUGGGAGCUGGGAGUUUGAUACACUGCGGGAAAAAUUACUAG